rnacentral:rRNA from 1 species
UACGUAGGGCGCAAGCGUUGUCCGGAAUUAUUGGGCGUAAAGAGCUCGUAGGCGGCCAGUUGCGUCUGCUGUGAAAUCCCGGGGCUCAACCCCGGGCGUGCAGUGGAUACGGGCUGGCUAGAGGCAGGCAGGGGAGAACGGAAUUCCCGGUGUAGCGGUGAAAUGCGUAGAGAUAUGGAGGAACACCUGUGACGAAGGCGCCUUGCUGGCCGAUUUCUGACGCUGAGGCGCGAAAGCGUGGGGAGCAAACAGG